UAGAGUUUGAUCCUGGCUCAGAUUGAACGCUGGCGGCAGGCCUAACACAUGCAAGUCGAGCGGGGUUUUCGGACCUAGCGGCGGACGGGUGAGUAAUGCGUAGGAAGCUACCCGAUAGAGGGGGAUACCAGUUGGAAACGACUGUUAAUACCGCAUAAUGUCUACGGACCAAAGUGUGGGACCUUCGGGCCACAUGCUAUCGGAUGCGCCUACGUGGGAUUAGCUAGUUGGUGAGGUAAUGGCUCACCAAGGCGACGAUCCCUAGCUGGUUUGAGAGGAUGAUCAGCCACACUGGAACUGAGACACGGUCCAGACUCCUACGGGAGGCAGCAGUGGGGAAUAUUGGACAAUGGGCGCAAGCCUGAUCCAGCCAUGCCGCGUGUGUGAAGAAGGCCUUCGGGUUGUAAAGCACUUUCAGUAGGGAGGAAGCGUUGUGUGUUAAUAGUACACAGCGUUGACGUUACCUACAGAAGAAGCACCGGCUAACUCUGUGCCAGCAGCCGCGGUAAUACAGAGGGUGCAAGCGUUAUCGGAAUUACUGGGCGUAAAGCGCACGUAGGCGGUUUUUUAAGUCAGAUGUGAAAGCCCCGGGCUCAACCUGGGAAUUGCAUUUGAAACUGGAAAACUAGAGUGUGUGAGAGGGGGGUAGAAUUCCAAGUGUAGCGGUGAAAUGCGUAGAGAUUUGGAGGAAUACCAGUGGCGAAGGCGGCCCCCUGGCACAACACUGACGCUCAGGUGCGAAAGCGUGGGGAGCAAACAGGAUU
rnacentral:rRNA from 1 species